AUAUUGAUGGAAAGUGUUUUCAAAUUCAAACAAAACAUUUUCAUAUUUGGCUGAAAUAGAGCAAAUAAUUUAAUUUGUUCCACAAAGCUGUGAUGAUGAUGAUGAUGAUGAUGAUGAUGAUGAUGGUUUGUUUCAGCCUCUGCAGAAAAAGAGUGACGACACGUACCGAGAGAUCGAGACGAAGCCAGGCCAGCGGCGCCGAACUGAUCAGGUUUAUCAGGGUUUGAGCUCCGUGACUAAAGACACGUAUGAUUCUCUGCACAUGCAGCAGAUUCACCCGCCGCCGCGCUAAACGCUGAUCCUCCACCGUCAGCAUCUCAGUCCACAUUCAUUAUUCAUUCCUGCUCUUGCUUCUUAAGCCUUCCAGGUGUUUCUUUCCUACAGACUCCGGAGAUUAUUCAGUGUUUCUCCACUUUGUGAAUUAUAGACUUUCAUAAUGAGCUCACAUCACACAUGUACAGUAGAGUCAGAAGAAAAAUCGAUAUUAAACCAAACCUGAUUGCAGAACGAACGCUUAACUCUCUGGUAUUGUUCAUUCGGGAGUCACACUUGUUGUUCACCGGUCAAAACAGACCGGAGGUCAUAAUCGUGUGCAAAUUUUAUUUUUUGUGAAGAUUUCAUUUCAAUAAUGAUUUUCUUUAAUAUUUAGCAUU